CCUACGGGUGGCAGCAGUGGGGGAUAUUGCACAAUGGGGGGAACCCUGAUGCAGCGACGCCGCGUGGGUGAAGAAGCGCCUCGGCGCGUAAAGCCCUGUCAGCAGGGAAGAAACUGACGGUACCUGAAGAAGAAGCCCCGGCUAACUACGUGCCAGCAGCCGCGGUAAUACGUAGGGGGCAAGCGUUAUCCGGAUUUACUGGGUGUAAAGGGAGCGUAGGCGGGGAGGCAAGUUGGGUAUAAAAACUACCGGCUCAACUGGUAGUCGCACGCAAAACUGCAGCUCUUGAGUGAAGUAGAGGCAGGCGGAAUUGCUAGUGUAGCGGUGAAAUGCGUAGAUAUUAGGAGGAACACCAGUGGCGAAGGCGGCCUGCUGGGCUUUUACUGACGCUGAGGCUCGAAAGUGUGGGGAGCAAACAGGAUUAGAUACCCGAGUAGUC
rnacentral:rRNA from 1 species